rnacentral:lncRNA from 1 species
UUUUAAUCUGCUCCAGCAGCUAAAUAAACUGUUUAAGAUAACGUUAGCUUGAUAUGUUAGCUUCCAUUGCCACCAUUGUUAUCAGCUAAUGGUGCGUUCGCUUUCUCCUCGGAAAUUCUAACUUCCCAGUAGGAAAAAUCAAAUGAAAAAGGACGGCAAAAGGAAUGAAGAUACACAAGUCAACCCUAAGAUGUUUGCUUCAGUUUAAUUAUCAG